rnacentral:rRNA from 1 species
UGGAUCAGACUUUGAUCAUGGCUCAGGAUGAACGCUAGCUACAGGCUUAACACAUGCAAGUCGAGGGGAAACGACAUCGAAAGCUUGCUUUUGAUGGGCGUCGACCGGCGCACGGGUGAGUAACGCGUAUCCAACCUGCCCGCCACUUGGGGAUAACCUUGCGAAAGUAAGACUAAUACCCAAUGAUAUCUCUAGAAGGCAUCAGAAAGAGAUUAAAGAUUUAUCGGUGAUGGAUGGGGAUGCGUCUGAUUAGCUUGUUGGCGGGGUAACGGCCCACCAAGGCGACGAUCAGUAGGGGUUCUGAGAGGAAGGUCCCCCACAUUGGAACUGAGACACGGUCCAAACUCCUACGGGAGGCAGCAGUGAGGAAUAUUGGUCAAUGGGCGAGAGCCUGAACCAGCCAAGUAGCGUGCAGGACGACGGCCCUAUGGGUUGUAAACUGCUUUUAUAAGGGAAUAAAGUGAGUCUCGUGAGACUUUUUGCAUGUACCUUAUGAAUAAGGACCGGCUAAUUCCGUGCCAGCAGCCGCGGUAAUACGGAAGGUCCGGGCGUUAUCCGGAUUUAUUGGGUUUAAAGGGAGCGUAGGCCGGAGAUUAAGCGUGUUGUGAAAUGUAGAGGCUCAACCUCUGCACUGCAGCGCGAACUGGUCUUCUUGAGUACGCACAACGUGGGCGGAAUUCGUGGUGUAGCGGUGAAAUGCUUAGAUAUCACGAAGAACUCCGAUUGCGAAGGCAGCUCACGGGAGCGCAACUGACGCUGAAGCUCGAAAGUGCGGGUAUCGAACAGGAUUAGAUACCCUGGUAGUCCGCACGGUAAACGAUGGAUGCCCGCUGUUGGCCUGAAUAGGUCAGCGGCCAAGCGAAAGCAUUAAGCAUCCCACCUGGGGAGUACGCCGGCAACGGUGCAACUCAAAUGAAUUGACGGA